GUUGCUCUCAGCAUGUCACUCGCUCAUUGACCGUCGCUCAAGGCUUUCUCUCACCGGCGUGGCCCCUUUUUGUAGCCACCGUUGAUGUCACUCAAGGCUCUCUGGUCAGCGUCCUGGCUCGGUCAGUUGGUCAAGUCACACAAGUUAUGUAGCAGAACUUGAUCUAUUUUGGGAUCUAAACCCUGGGCAAGCGUCACCGACAACAACAACAACAACCAUGGGUUACUUUGACCUCAACAUCCCCUACCCUGAACCUUCCCUUGCCAACAAGGCCACCGAGCAAGGUAACUAUAUCUCCACACCUCUUUUGGGAUAAUCUAGAUUCCGAAGUGUGAUUGGAUAUAAUCCCUUAUUUUGUGUCCAUACAUAUUUGACGUUGCCAAAGGAACACAAAAUGACAAAUGAGAUGGUUUUUUGAUAUUGGACUAUUAAAUUGUUAUCUAAUUUAUUUAUUUUUGAAAAUGAGUCAAAAUUAGAAAGGAAUAAAAGGAAAGAAAUGUGUAUUUGUGUUUAUGUGAUAUCUGUAUCUUAUAUUAAUAACUCAUGCAACAAUCAAGCAAGUGGUAAUAUUGAUAUUGAAGAUGUUGAUUCAACUAAUGCAUGCUAUGGAGGAACAACUACUUUGUUCAAGUGUGUGAAUUGGGUGAAUAGUAGCUCAUGGGAUGGAGAUUAUGGACUUAUUAUAUGUACAAACAUUAUGGUAUGUUUGCUACAGAUUUACUACUUAAUGCAUAAGGAAAUUUCAAUUCUUAUAUUUUAUCCAUUUUUUUAA